rnacentral:rRNA from 1 species
AGAGUUUGAUCCUGGCUCAGAUUGAACGCUGGCGGCGUGCUUAAUACAUGCAAGUCGAGCGGUAACAGGUGUAGCAAUACAUGCUGACGAGCGGCGAACGGGUGAGUAAUGCUUCGGAAUCUGCCUAGUAGUGGGGAAUAACUAACCGAAAGGUUAGCUAAUGCCGCAUACGAACUACGGUUGAAAGCGGGGGAUCGUAAGACCUCGCGCUAUUGGAUGAGCCGAAGUCGGAUUAGCUAGUUGGUGAGGUAACGGCUCACCAAGGCUACGAUCCGUAGCUGGUCUGAGAGGACGACCAGCCACACUGGGACUGAGACACGGCCCAGACUCCUACGGGAGGCAGCAGUAGGGAAUAUUGGACAAUGGGGGCAACCCUGAUCCAGCGACGCCGCGUGUGUGAAGAAGGCCUGCGGGUUG